CUUGAAGAACUCACUACCGAAAUUACCCUAUAAAGAAGAAUUCUUCUUCAUCUGUAGUUUUGGUUUUCUCUCAGAUUUCUGAACCCGUUCUUUCUCUUUUCUCUCUAUCUCUCUCUCUAAUUCAGCUCCUGUCCGGGGCUUUUGCAGAGGUUCUAGGGGUGAAAUUCCAUUAGAAAGGAGAGAACAGAGGAAAGAAGAAGAGAGAAAAGAGGAAAAAUGGCAGUAUCAUCUAGGGUUUCAUUCGGAGUCAUGGCGAUUGUUGCUUUGAUUUUCAGCAUUGCUCUACCUGCUGUUGUUCAAGCUCAAGCACCUGCUCCUGCUCCAACCAGUGAUGGAACAACAAUUGACCAAGGAAUUGCAUACGUGCUAAUGCUAGUUGCGCUUGUGCUAACCUACAUUAUUCAUGAGACAAAUUAAGAAGUUAAAUUAUGAAUUAGGUGUUUGUUAGUGAAUGAAGAACAACGACGAUGAUAACUGUCUUAUGUAUAAAAAAUAAACUUACAAGGUUAUGAGGAAGAGUGAGGGUGGGAGUGUUUGAGCUUUGAGAAAUGGUGCGGUGGUGAUUUUGUGUGAGCGGCCGGCAACGGCAGGGGGAAUGAAAUGAGGAUUAAGAGAUGGCGAGUGUUCUUAUAAAUUUUAAUUCUAUGUUAUUAUUAUUAGUUGGAAAGGGAGAGAUGGGGGACCUCUCCUUUUUCUCUUUCUAACUUGUAAUUUUCUUUUUUCUUCUUCAUCUUCUUCUUCUUUUCCCCCUCCAUUGUUUAUCUUCUUUGGAUUCAUUUUGUUUGUUACAGUUGACAUGAUUCUUUCCACC